rnacentral:rRNA from 1 species
UGAGUAACCUGCCCUUCACUCUGGGAUAACUCCGGGGAAACCGGGGCUAAUACUGGAUAUGACUCGAACAGGCAUCUGUUUCGGGUGGAAAGAUUUAUUGGUGGAGGAUGGACUCGCGGCCUAUCAGCUUGUUGGUGAGGUAAUGGCUCACCAAGGCAACGAUGCGUAGCCGACCUGAGAGGGUGAUCGGCCACAUUGGAACUGAGACACGGCCCAGACCUCCGUACGGGAGCA